UACGUAGGCAGCAAGCGUUGUUCGGAUUUACUGGGCGUAAAGGGUGUGUAGGCGGUUCUUUAAGUUUGGUGUGAAAUCUCCCGGCUCAACCGGGAGGGUGCGCCGAAUACUGAGGGACUAGAGUGCGGGAGAGGAAAGUGGAAUUCCUGGUGUAGCGGUGAAAUGCGUAGAUAUCAGGAGGAACACCGGUGGUGUAGACGGCUUUCUGGACCGUAACUGACGCUGAAACACGAAAGCGUGGGUAGCAAACAGG
rnacentral:rRNA from 1 species